UACGGAGGGGGCUAGCGUUGUUCGGAAUGACUGGGCGUAAAGCGCGCGUAGGCGGAUCAUGCAAGUCAGGGGUGAAAUCCCGGGGCUCAACCCUGGAAUGGCCUUUGAGACUGCUGGUCUUGAGUCCGGGAGAGGUGAGUGGAACUCCGAGUGUAGAGGUGAAAUUCGUAGAUAUUCGGAAGAACACCAGUGGCGAAGGCGGCUCACUGGCCCGGUACUGACGCUGAGGUGCGAAAGCGUGGGGAGCAAACAGG
rnacentral:rRNA from 1 species